rnacentral:rRNA from 1 species
CCCUUAGAUGUCCGGGGCCGCACGCGCGCUACACUGAAGGAAUCAGCGUGGCUCUGUCCCUGGUCCGGAAGGAUCGGGUAACCCGUUGAACCUCCUUCGUGCUAGGGAUUGUGGUUUGCAAUUUUUCCACAUGAACGAGGAAUUCCCAGUAAGCGCAAGUCAUAAGCUUGCGUUGAUUACGUCCCUGCCCUUUGUACACACCGCCCGUCGCUACUACCGAUUGAAUGGUUUAGUGAGGUCCUCGGAUCGGUCGCGAUACCGGUUGCCUUCGGGUGGCUGAAUCGCUGUGCUGAGAAGACGAUCAAACUUGAUCAUUUAGAGGAAGUAAAAGUCGUAACA